CUAACAUGAGCAAAGUCGAAGGUCCGAUUAUUUAAAGAUCGAAUGAGGAGAGAGGCCCUUACAAUGGCCCUUAUGCACCCCUACAGCCAUGUUAGGAACAGGAGGAGAACCUCAUCCUAACAUGAGCAAAGUCGAAGGUCUGAUUAUUUAAAGAUCGGAUAGGAGGAGAGGCCCUUACAACGGCCCUUAUGUGCCCCCACAGCCAUAUUAGGAAUAGGAGGAGAACCUCGUCCUAACAUGAGCAAAGUCGAAGACUCGAUUAUUUAAAGAUCGGAUGGGGGGAGAGGCCCUUACAACGGCCCUUAUGUGUCCCCACAGCCAUGUUAGAAAUAGGAGGAGAACCUCGUCCUAACAUGAGCAAAGUCGAAGGCCCGGUUAUCUAG
rnacentral:lncRNA from 1 species